GUGAAUCAUCGAAUUUUUGAACGCAAAUUGCACUCUCUUCGGAGAGUAUGCCUGUUUGAGGGUCAGUAUAAUCAAAAUCGGAGCGAUGCUUUUUGGGUGACGCACCGGAGUUUGGGUCAUCUUAACUCUUUUUUUUAAUAGACCUAAAAUUAACAUUCUUUUUUUCUCACUUUUGAGACGUACAUAAUCUUUUUUUAUUCGUCUACCCUUGUGGCAAAAAUUUUAUUAUAUCGUUAAUCACGUAGAGUGGACUCUCUUCUAUAAUUAUCAUGAUUUUACCUCAAAUCAGGUAAGAA
rnacentral:misc_RNA from 1 species